CGUACACUCCUACGGGAGGCAGCAGUGGGGAAUAUUGGACAAUGGGCGCAAGCCUGAUCCAGCCAUGCCGCGUGAGUGAUGAAGGCCCUAGGGUUGUAAAGCUCUUUCACCGGUGAAGAUAAUGACGGUAACCGGAGAAGAAGCCCCGGCUAACUUCGUGCCAGCAGCCGCGGUAAUACGAAGGGGGCUAGCGUUGUUCGGAUUUACUGGGCGUAAAGCGCACGUAGGCGGACUAUUAAGUCAGGGGUGAAAUCCCGGGGCUCAACCCCGGAACUGCCUUUGAUACUGGUAGUCUUGAGUUCGAGAGAGGUGAGUGGAAUUCCGAGUGUAGAGGUGAAAUUCGUAGAUAUUCGGAGGAACACCAGUGGCGAAGGCGGCUCACUGGCUCGAUACUGACGCUGAGGUGCGAAAGCGUGGGGAGCAAACAGGAUUAGAAACCCUAGUAGUCCCA
rnacentral:rRNA from 1 species